CCUCAGUCCCUUUGUGACAUCAAGUUGAUGAGGGUUCUGACAAGCUGAGCUGCACAGGGAGAGGAGAGCAUAACAGGCAGACAGGCCAAACUUGCGGAAAAAAUGCAGAAAUUGGGCUUGUUUUUGGUUUAAUUGGCUUAUCUGGCCAUUAAACUGUCAUCCCUGUUAAGGGAGAUGAGAUGAUCCACAGUGGAAGGACAGACAGAGUGUGGAUGGACAGACACAUGGGCAGAACACCUGUUUCUGCAAGUCAACCUGAAUGCAAGUGUUCCAACCCCACCCAGGCAGCAAGGAGAAGGAGGAAGAAAACUGACUCAAAUGAAAUCGGCACACAGAACCCAAGCAUGAUAUGCUCCAGAGAUCUUAAUGGUGGAUAAGCACCACCGAGCAGCUUGGAGAAAGGAGAAUUUCAUCCUCACUGGGAAGGAAAGGCAACAGGUUACUGAUAUAAUUUGCAGAGGUGUUAUGAGGCCCCAAUCAUUAAUUUUUUGAACAAUGUUUUGGAUCCCAGGAAGGAGGGAGCCAUAGAAGUGCAAAGUAUUAUUUAUUAAUAAAGAAGCCCAAUUUUUACAUGCAUCCAACGAAUCAGGAAACUGGGAACACUGGAACGUGAAAUCAUCUGUCCUGAGACAACCAUUUAUUUAGCUAUGGUGUGAGAUGUCACCUGCUGUUCAGCCCUCCGAACAAUCUCAACAGGAAGGAAAACACCAUCUAUUAUAAGCUUUCAUUUUCCUCUAGUAUUUACUCUUUUACCUUUGCUGAGAAAACAAUAUUUGGACCAGUGGAUACAUUGUAUUCAAGAGACUCGGAAACUGUAGUGACACUGAAAUGCCAAACUAUUGGCCUUGUUACCCAAUCAACAGAGAA